GAAGCACCAGCGUUCGUGCCAUCCGUGGCACUGAACUUGCCGCCACAGACAUCUGCUGUCUUGCCUUCCGAUACUAAGUCACCGGAAGUUACCUUAAUCCCAGAUCUGGGAAUAGUAACCGGCAUACAAAAACUAGACCUUUCAGAUGAGAUCCCUGCUGAACACCAAAAACAGGGUGUUAAAGAAGCGAUCCCUGUCUUACGCACAAAACAAGAC
rnacentral:lncRNA from 1 species